AUGAACGCUGGCGGCGUGCCUAACACAUGCAAGUCGAGCGGCAGCGAGGGGUGCUUGCACCCUGUCGGCGAGCGGCGGACGGCUGAGUAACGCGUGGGAACGUGCCCCAAAGUGAGGAAUAACUGCCCGAAAGGGUAGCUAAUACCGCAUAUUAUCUUCGGAUCAAAGGAUUUAUCCGCUUUGGGAGCGGCUCGCGUCGGAUUAGGUAGUUGGUGAGGUAAUGGCUCACCAAGCCGACGAUCCGUAGCUGGUCUGAGAGGAUGACCAGCCAGACUGGAACUGAGACACGGUCCAGACUCCUACGGGAGGCAGCAGUGAGGAAUCUUCCACAAUGGGCGAAAGCCUGAUGGAGCAACGCCGCGUGCAGGACGAAGGCCUUCGGGUUGUAAACUGCCUUUAUAAGUGAGGAAUAUGACGGUAACUUAUGAAUAAGGAUCGGCUAACUACGUG
rnacentral:rRNA from 1 species